GAAAGAUGCUAAACUAUUUUUGCGAUGUGUUCCUAAUAUGUAAUAUAAGUAUAUUGGGAACAUUUUGCAUUGAUAGUUUUGCAUCAAUAUA
rnacentral:pre_miRNA from 12 species